CCCUGUAAGAUGGACUACGUGGCUUGCAACACAGGUGACUGCACUCCUCAGGCCUGGCCACUGCGGGCUCAGCCAACCACCUGCUGGACGAGUGGUUCUAGAACUGCUAUGGCCACUGCCACCAGGCCUUCGCAGAUCACCAGCAGUCAGACUGCCAGCAGUCAGAGUGGUAGUGGCCCGAGAGCCAGCAACUGGCAGCCCAGACCCAGGCACAGGUGUGGUAUGGGACUCCACGUCAGGGUGAGUGAGCACCUGCGGGAUUCCACGGCUGGAAGUCGGAGCUGCAGCGUGAGGUGGAGGUGCUGGCAAAGAGUCAGACCUGCUGCUGGUCCAGAAGCAGCGGCUGGAGCACCUCCUGGACACCACUGCCCAGCCCUUCUCUAUUGCCACAAACAACCUGCAGUGCUGCACGUGCCGCCAGCACCCUGACCUUGUGAGCUACCACAUGGAGAUGGAGUUGCUGAGGGUGCCACAGCCU
rnacentral:lncRNA from 1 species